CAAAAAAUAACAAUAAAGGAACAUCCCUACCCUCGACGCCUCUAAUAUCUGCCAGGUCUAAAACCUCUUCCCCAAUCUCCUUCAUCGUCGAGAAAAGGGGGCUGAGCCCGACCAGCAUCCUCCUAUGCUCUUCCAAAGCAUCCGGAUACACCUGGCCCUCACAGAACUUCUCGGCGUCGGGGAUUCCCCAAUCAGGCCAGAAAGGAAGAUCGGGUUCUGGGGCUACCACAUAAAACCACCCCGCCCUCCACCCCUUUAAAGAGCUCGCCAUCCUCGGGACUUUAAAGCCCCCAGUCGUCGAGAGAUAGCCAAAACACGUGUAUCGAGGAUGCUUCUUAAGCUCGAACACUAACUUGCUG
rnacentral:lncRNA from 1 species